rnacentral:lncRNA from 1 species
UGAAAAUAAACAGAAUGGGCAUAAAUGGUCAUUUCAGUUACAAUCUGAUAUCAGAAUAAAGGCUUUUCAGACAAAUUCCCUAUUCAUCAAAGAGUAAAGGCUUCACCUUCAUAGACCAUUUAUUUCUCCACAAGCAAAUUAGAGUUAGAACAGAAAUGAGAACAAAACAUGGAAAUAAAAAAGAAUUGUAUAAGAACUUACCACCGAAACAAGGCUGCAAGAAGCAAACAACAAUGAAGAUGAAGAGAAUGGAGGCUCCCUAGGCUUCUUUUCCUUCUGAUUGCCAGCAACAGAUCCAAAACUGGAAGGUGUAACAUCAUCAUCAUCAUCCUCUUCCUCUUCCUCUCCGUCUUCCUCUUCAUCCACAACUUUGUCAACAUCAUCUUUGGGAAUGGCUUUGUCCUCUAGGUUAGCCACCACAGAAGUAUCUUCAUCCUCCAGCAAUCCCAUUUCCAUCUUCUUCUCCUCCUCUUUUUCUUUCUUCUUUAGUUCUUCAUCCAUGUCCUCAAUGGCCUCUUCUAAACACAGUUCAGCCUCUAUAAGAUCAAGUUCCUUUUCAAUAAGCUUCAUCUUCAACUCACCAGCCUUCUUUUUCUCUUCAGUCCACUUUUCUAGUUUAUCAAAUCCUGGCUUCAACGCAUUUUCUAUUGUCGUUAUUAGACGCUUCCAUAUAUUAUCCCUUUUUUGAAUCACUUCCCGUCCAUAGAACUCAUCAAAUCCAAGGGGCAGGAACUUAGCCUUCUUUGGAUCAAUCUCUUCACCUUCUUUCACAGGUGGCUGCCAAAAUAAUCGGACACCAUGUUCCUCAUCCUCAAUGUAAUUGAUCAAUUGUCCAGUUGGGGUAUGCAAAAUGAGCGGGUCUUCAGUAUAUAUUAGCUUUGACGGAUCUUCAGGAUCAGGCUCCGGUUCUUUGUUGAUAAGUACAAAUUCAGGAGUUUCAUCUGAUCAAUAAAAUGUAAACAUCCAUUUAAAAAAACCAAAAAGGAAAAGGAUUCUUCAUAUCACUUUUGGAGACUAAGAAAUAAUAACAGAAGCGAAUAAAGAAAUACCUUUCGACCACCAAUAUUCAAGCUCUGCAGGCAUAGGUAACCUCAGGGGAGCUUUAUAAAAUGAGUUCAGCCACAUUUCUCUUUCCUGAUCAACUUCAUGCACAUAUGUCUUCCAAUAAUCAGGAACCUGCCAACAAACAUACUUAUUUCUUCUCCCUUUUCAUAAUUGUGGAAAGAAUCCACCACGCGAAAGAAAAGCUUUUACUUACUUCGUAGAACUGAUUGAUAAAGCCUGGUGCCAUCCACACAUCUUCCUCCUCAUAGAAAUAGGGGUGUUGAGGAUCACCAUAAGGGCCCCUCUCUUCCCUAACCACUAUACAUGCAAACCAAGAUAAAAAGUCAAGAUUAUAUAAGGUUAAUGUUUAAAAUUGUCAGUGAUUAAAUGUAAAAAGGCAUAGGGGUUCCAAAGUAUCAUGUAGAGGGUAAAUCCAAAGAAAGUCAUGCAUUCAAAUUUCAGAGUAUAGUCAAGUCAGGCCUUCCGCAAUGAGGAACAUCCAACAUGACAAACUGCACUUGAACUUCAAAUCAUAUUCUAGAGGACCCAGAAAACAAAUUAUGCAAAACAGUCAACAAGAGGCUCCUUGAAUCUCCAAAGAACUUCCUUUUGCACCCAAUAAAUAGAUAAGCAGAAGACUGUGAGGGAGGCUUUUAGCAAUGAUAACACUUAUAAGUUAUAACCCAUAUUCAUCUCUAAAUAUGAGUAUGUACAACUUGUAAAUAUUCAGCUUCAUCACAAACCAAAAAGUUGACCUAUUCAGUUACCGCAAGGUACAAAGUUCAGCCACUUCUAUUUUCCUUUUUGUUUUCUUCCCUUUCUGUUUUUUACUCUAGCAUAGCUCUACAGCCAUGAUCUAAUUAGCACAUGCUUGAAACAUUGGCAUGAUUGACACUAGGGGACACAACUCUCAUGUCAACCAUAACAGACACUUGUAGGGACAAUUAUAAGAGAAAAUUAUAUGUCAAAUAUACCUGAACAAGUCGAAUUUUAAAGAUGUUAUGCAUUUUUUGUUGAAGAAACUUGCACAGAGAUCUAUCUUGUUUCCAUAUAUAAAAUCUUAGAAGUUACUGUGUCAAACAAGAUUUUGUGCUUAUGCAAAUCUAAUAGUUAAUAAAGCAAGACUACAUACUUCCAUCUGGCUUAUUAACAAACAUCCGAGCCUUAGCAGCAGCAACCUCUGCAAUACCAGCAUGCAUCUGAAAAACUGCAAUGUCAGAGAAAUACCAUAAUAUAGAAUUUAUUCCAACCCCCCCCCCCCAAAAAAAAAAAACUUCAUUUUGAACUAUUUAUUAAGUAGGAAACAAAUUGAGAAUACCGCUGAAAUGUUCUCAUCACAACCAUCUAAAUCCUCCAAUAACUCUCCAAAAUAGAAUCUACCCUGCACCGUUACAAAUUAUGGAACACAAAAGCAGUCAAGCACUUUUAUAAGACAAUUUGAGUAGCAGAAAUGGUUCAUACAAGUGAAAAAUAAUAUAUCAUAUGUGCAUGUAAUAUAGUAUCAACCAUUAACCAAAUAGAACGAUGAAUGUUUUGCAUUCUCUUAAAACCAUUAUAUCUUAGCAUCUUUCUUUUGAAAAAUAUUGUACAAAUUUCCUACUUUUCAACUAUUAUGUUACUAGAAAGCAUUAUUUUAAAGAAAACUGAGGCCUAUAAAGCAGAGGCAAAAACUUGGAUGCAGCAACACAUACUAAAUCUUAUGUAAAAAUAAAUCCACAUCUUCAUGGAAGAAAUGGAUUGAAUUACGCAAAUUGAGACUCAAACAGAACAGUCUAUAUUUUAAGCACAUACAUAGAUGGUGCGCUCAUUGACUUCAUAUACACCACACCCAUGCAUUCUGCCAUGCUUCCACUGGCCAGCAUAGCGGUAUCGACCCUUCUCCCUGAAACAGAAAUGUUUGUCCUCUUAACACCACAAAUUGAGAUACAUGCCUGCUAAAGUCUCAAAAGUUCGGCAGAAAAAGUAAGAUACAAGUGCCUUGCAUGAUACAAUGUAAAUGCUCAAUAUGUGCAUGUGCAGAUUGGACAAUUGGGUAGGAUUAGGAAAAGCAACAUGCAUAUUAUCAAAAAUAAAAAUAAAAUAAGGCAGAUUCAAAUGCAAUGACAAAAAUAAUAAUAAUAAGACAAAAAGAAAUAGAAUAUUUGAUGGAGAAACAUACGGUUUUCUGCCAAAAUGUUUGAUCCAUAUAUCACUCUCAUAAAAUGGUAUUUCAUAUUGCCCAUCCGCCAGGCGAAUGCUAUCCUCAACAUCCAUCUCUAACCAUUCUCUAUCUUCUGGAGUCAUGAAAUCUCUUGAUAUUAUUUUCCCUUCAGCUCGCAUUUUUGCUUCAAGCCUAGAAAAAUGUGAAAAUUCCAACUUCAUUGUAUCAUUUAUAAUCAAUUGCUGAGAUUGUAAAACCUAUGCUAUAAUAUAAGUGCAUCAUAAAUAGUUCACAAAUUGUUACGUACUUGGAACCUGGCACAGGUGCUAUAUCAGGUAUAUCAACUUCAACAACCCCAUGACCUUCCAUAUUGUUUUGCAACCAUUCACCUUCAUACCUAUAAAAGGAAGCAUCCUGCAAAUUUUUUCUUUAAAAAAAGCGUAAGCAGCUCAAAAGUACUUGAUGCAACUUAGCCCAAUACGGAACAAUUUCUAGACCCAUAAAACAGAGGAAAAUGAAAUAUUUAAAGAGCAAUCUCUGGGUUGAAUAAUGCAGACGCUGUCAUUUCAAUCCUAACAAUGUUGUCAAGACUCGAGUCACUACAGCCCACAACGUAGGGAGUUUGAUAUAGUCCACUUUUUUACUAAUAAAAAACUUUUAGAAAAUAACAAUAAUAAAAGAAAUAUUUAAAGAGAACUUCAAUCGGGCAAGCUUCUAUUUGCACCUGCUGCCGUACAAGAAAGGGUCUUCAUUGCUUUUAUAGUCUAGCACCUUGGUGCUUGACAUCACUGACUCGUAUAACUACAAACAAUCUUAUCUGCAUGUUUAAGGGUCCUUCAAUGCAGGAUGGUACUAGAACAUAGGUAUGAAGAAAGCAGAAAACAGCAUUAUGAUAAAGUGAAGAGAUACACAUACACAAGAAAUCAAGACUGAAGUGUCAAGCAUUGACAAACCUGACCAGCCCCUGUUCUGCAACAUAAACACCUUUGCCAUGAGCCAAAUCAUCCCAAACCGUGCCUUCAUACCUUAAACAAAAUGCAGAAUGACUAUAAUGAGUAAUCAAACAAGUCAAAGCAAAACCAGAAUCAGGCAUACCGUUACCCGGAACUUCAAACAUGUCAAAAGCAAACUACUGGAUUAAAAACGAGUGGAGGGCUGACUUUCAACAUAAAGCCACAAUUUUGCUUCGUGCAAUUGACCAAGUUCAAACUUAUCCAAAUGCACAUUUAGCUACCUCAUUUACAAACUCCCCAGACCUAAAUAAACUACCAUACUGCAAUAAAGUUGCAUGCCUUAACAAGACAAAUAGUAACAAAAUGAGGGGAAAAGAGUAAGAGAGAGAGUCGGUUUAACAUACGAGCUUCCAUCAGGGAAAAUGUAGCUGACCCAAUUGAGAAACUCCUCAAUCCUAUCCAACUCUUCAAUAACUGCUUUGGGGUUCGAAAUAUCAUAAUGAUUGUCCGGUAUAGCCGGAUAAGGCUUCCGAUAAGGAACAUAAAACGGGGCAAUCCCCGGGUCCCGGCCCUCCUUAAUCUCAUCCCUAACAAUUUCCCAAUCUUCCUCAUCAGCCCAAACAGGGUCCCAACCGGGUUUGGUCAUCUCCAGCGGAGCAUCCACCCAAUACUCCUUCAAAUCCUCUUCCCGCCAAUUCUCGGGGUCUGGUGGAAAAUCCCAUAAGUCUUCGAUGUAAACGUAGUCUUCGUCUUCUUCCUCUUGGAUCCUCUUGAUUCUCUUGCUCUCCAGCACCCGAGUGUACCUGCGGAUGUUGGUUUCGGGGGUGUUUACGGUUUCAGGUGGGGCCUCUCCGGGUCGGGUGUAAGUGAGGGUUUCGGAAUCGGAUUCCUCGAUGUAGUCGUCAGAGGAAGAGGAGGAGUAGUCGGAGUCGGAGUCGGAGUCUGCGUAUUGCUGUUGCGACUCAGUAAGUUGUUGUGCUUGUUCUUCUUCUUCAUCAUCCUCUUCUGGGUCUUGUGACUCAGUGAGUUGUUGUUCCUCUUCGUUCGACAUUGCUUUGCAGUAGAAAGAAGGGAGAGGUUGAAGAAGAUAAGGUAGAGAAUGUUAAGAAGAAAAGGAUCGUUAGGAUUGAAGACAGCGGUUUAUCAUUUCAAAAGGGUUUUGGGCGUUUUGGCAUUUUCCAUGUCUUUUAAGUGAUUUUUGUGGUGUACCUAUGUUUGCUUUCUAUUUUCAUUUUGGUAAGUAUAGACAAAUGAUGUUAUCUUUUUUCAUGUGAAAUUGGUAGAUAAUAAUAUUUUACGCAUUUUAUUAAUUUGGUUCUAUUUUUAGAAACUUUAAUUUUAAAUUUUAUACAUUCUCUUAAUUUUAUCUUAAUUUUAAAUUUUUAAAAAUUUAAAAAAUUAUUAAAUGUUUGAAAAAAAUACAUAGAAAUUAAAAUUUAGCGGGUGAAACAAAAACAUGAAAUGGAUCGAAACAAGGGUACUAUUUCAAGGAACGAGGCACAAACAAUUUCAUGGUUCUAGACAAGAUUCUCCACAUCUUUUUCUUCGGUUAUUAAAUGUUAAGUUUUUGGGUUCAAUUAAACUUUCAUAAUGCAUCAUCCAUUGCUUGUGGACUCAUUUGCUAAACUUGUAGACUAGAAUUAUUGAAGAAUCAUAUUUGACACUCUUUUGAUGAACAUACAUUUAUUUAUAUAUUUAUAUGUUUAAUUAUUGGAUUUAAAUUGUUAGACUAUCCAAUAGGAACCUCCAUUAUUGGAUUUAAAUUGCUAGCUGGGUAUAUUUAUGUUGACUGCACUGACAGUAGAAAGCAAAUUUCUAUCUCCAUAUCAACUAUAAAGACUAAGCAUAUCUUUGCUUGAAGUUAUUGUACACAACACUAUGGUGUUAAAAGAAGUGUUGCUAAACAUUUCAAAGAAUAAUAUAUUGUACCUACGCACAUGAUUAUGAGCCUCCAAGUGUUAGAUGUCAUGUUGAUUCUUCAAAAGUGCAGAAAUGAUUUAAUCAUUAGUAUUCGUUAUAUUUAGACCGCAAUAUCUGCUGAGGAGUCUUUGUACCUAAGCACAUGAUUAUGAACGUCCAGAUGCCAUGUCGGUUCUUCAAGAUUGGAGAAGUGAUGGAGUUUUAUGGUGGUUUAAACAAAUAUUCUUGACUUGAAAUGCAAGGGAAUUUUUCCUUUAAACAUCAAUCUUGGGAUUGCUCCAUUUACCAUGUUUACUUGAUAAAAAAUAAAAACCAGUUCUCAUGAUUCAUAUUCGAUUGUUAAUGUUCAAAUUUUGAUACUAAUCAAAUUCAAGCUCAAAUAUUAAAGCUCGUGAUAGCUCAACUUGCUGUAAAUCACAAAGUAGAAUUCAAAUUUGAUUUCCAAUAUUCAAAAAAUUUUCAAACAAAACCCAAAUAUCUUCCAAGAGUAUAAAAUUUUCCCAUUUACACUCCUAGUCACAGCACUCCCAAUGUGGAAUUUUAAAUGAAAAUAAAACCAAUAGGACCAAAAGUAUUGAAGUUGAUCAUUCACCCCAAAUCCCAAUUGCCUGAAUGAAACUUUCGUUGAUCCUUCAACUUUCAUAUAAGAAUCAAAGCAUCCAAGAAAUAUUCCAGAUGAGAUUUUGCUCAUCGUCUAAGCUUUUUCUUUGUAAAGGAAAAAAUGUGCCAAAGCUCAAAAUGAUUUUUCAAUGUCUAACUUUGACGUUAUUUUUCUCUGUUUUUAAAAAAUAAAAGCCAAGUGUAUACUUCAAAUUAAGAUUGGCCAAAAAACCAAUCAAAUACAACCUCAACAAAGACUGACCCUCGUAAGUGCAAUCAUUCAAGUUCCUACAAUGAGGCUCCAUGCCUUUUAGUAUCUGGGUAUGAUUCCAAAUAACAAACCGGAAUAUGCAAAGAUAAGAUGUCUGAAUAUUUCUUCGGUGCAACAUGCAGCUCAGAACGGUUAAGGUUUCCAGGUUGUCUUACACGGCUUCUGGUAGUAGUUGAAGGACAUGAUAAGAUCUUGCAUAAGGAGUGUAACUGAGACUUCUUUCCUCUAGAUUGGUUUUGUGGUUGAAACUUCUGAUGGUCUUGCUUGAAUGCCCUCAACCUUCCUUUGUGGCCUAGCACCAAAGGGAAACUGACCGAAUCAAUUAUUUUCAAUGGAUCGCUGGCGCUUUCCACACUUGACGGAGGAUGGGAUUUUAGUGGUAAUCUACGUUGUUUCAGUGCUAAAAUUGAUUCUCGCAAUGUAGAUGGAACCUGUAAAGCAAAAGAUAGUAACCACUGAAAUCUGAAAUAUAAAAGCAAUGCAACUUUCAAAUGACCACCCAUUCAAUUAGCAUAAAGAAUUGUGAAACUAAACAGAAUAGACAUAAAUGGUCAUUUCGGUUACAAUCUGAUAUCGGAAUAAAGGCUUUUCAGACAAAUUCCCCAUUAGUCAAAGAGCAAAGGUGAAACAAUAAGACCAUUUUUUCCUCCACAUGCAAAUCACAGAAUUAGAACAGAAAUGAGAACAAAACAUGGAAAUAAAAUUGAAUUGUAUAAGAAUUUACCGCUGAAACAAGGCUGCAAGAAGCAAACAACAAUGAAGAUGAAGAGAAUGGAGGCUCCCUAGGCUUCUUUUCCUUCUGAUUGCCAGCAACAGAUCCAAAACUGGAAGGUGUAACAUCAUCAUCAUCAUCCUCUUCCUCUUCCUCUUCCUCUCCGUCUUCCUCUUCAUCCACAACUUUGUCAACAUCAUCUUUGGGAAUGGCUUUGUCCUCUAGGUUAGCCUCCACAGAAGUAUCUUCAUCCUCCAGCAAUCCCAUUUCCAUCUUCUUCUCCUCCUCUUUUUCUUUCUUCUUUAGUUCUUCAUCCAUGUCCUCAAUGGCCUCUUCUAAACACAGUUCAGCCUCUAUAAGAUCAAGUUCCUUUUCAAUAAGCUUCAUCUUCAACUCACCAGCCUUCUUCUU